AAGUGACGCCAAAAUUUUGGAUUAUCAAUCCGGUCUGGAGUCAGCAGUUGGUGCUAUCCUCGCUGCCCUGUCCGGGAUAAACGUUAUCUCCGGUCCCG
rfam:Candidate division Zixibacteria bacterium SM23_73 WORSMTZ_89679, whole genome shotgun sequence.